rnacentral:rRNA from 1 species
UACAGAGGGUGCAAGCGUUGUUCGGAAUUAUUGGGCGUAAAGCGCGUGUAGGCGGCUUUGCAAGUCGGGUGUGAAAGCCCUCGGCUCAACCGAGGAAGUGCGCCCGAAACUGCAGAGCUUGAGUACCGGAGAGGAUGGCGGAAUUCCCCAAGUAGAGGUGAAAUUCGUAGAUAUGGGGAGGAACACCGGUGGCGAAGGCGGCGAUCUGGGUCGAUACUGACGCUGAGGUGCGAAAGCGUGGGGAGCAAACAGG